rnacentral:lncRNA from 1 species
GUUCUGUUUGUUAUUUUGCAAAAGAAAAUAGUAUUUACAGGUGGCUUCAUGGCAGGAUUUUACAGUGUUUACAUGCACAUGCAUUUUAUAAGUGUUCUAUAUGUGUGAAAUAGUAUUUCCAGCUGGAAAGUGUUGGCCGGCGCAGAAGGCCUGGCCCUUUUCUGGUUCCCAUGAUGUUGCCCACACUGCUAGACUACAGUUUAGUGUUGCUUUGUAUCAUGAGGCCAAGAAGUUCCAUGUUGUUUGUAAAUAGAAUAAUUGAAAAAGCAAUAAACAUUUAUUG